UUGAGUGAAUUGUCCUUGGCUCAUUCAGGAUCAAAGCACAGGUUUUGCCUGGUUCCACUUCUUUCCUCCACCCACACUGUUAAAGGAUCACUGAACCUUUGGUAUCCAGUCCCUGAUAAGCACAAUAGGCAGUGAUAAGCGAAAGCAGAGGAAAAAAAUAAAAAAUAAAACACACAGAGUUAUUUCCUUUGAGCAGAUACCAGAAGGUAAAUUGGUAGAGAAGAAGAAGUUUCAGUCUACUCACACCAAAGAAGCAGAGUAGUGUAAUGCAAGAUUUCUGCCUGGAGAGGCUAUUGGAGGAUAGGAUGUGUGUCUGUGGUGCCAGGGGAAGGAAGGGAAAGAAAGGAUGUCCCUGUUGGUGCUAUGCAGCAUCAUUAGAAUGACCUUGGAGCUGAAAGCCACAUUCCAGGGAAGUCUCCUGAUGCUGAGGAACUUGUCUCUAAUAAGAGGAAGGAAUUUGUCAUUGCCUAACUAGAGUCUCCUUUGCAAGCUGAGACUUUCUUCUCUAGGAUGGUUUAUCCUACGCUGAACUAGCUCUACUCUGGUCUUGUGGAGCCCUUUAUGGUACAAUACAUGAGGUAUGCUCCUGGAGCACACUUUCCACUUCAGUUUCAUCUGGAAUGAAUCUGGCUCAAACUCUCCAAAACAGAUCCAUAAUGGGAAAGAAAGCACGGUUGUGCUGCGCAGCUGUGAUACCAGAUCUUUAAUCAUAGUGACAAGCACAGAGGCUCUAUGCAAAUGUAAGCAA